GAUGAACGCUGGCGGCGUGCCUAAUACAUGCAAGUCGAGCGAACAGACGAGGAGCUUGCUCCUCUGACGUUAGCGGCGGACGGGUGAGUAACACGUGGAUAACCUACCUAUAAGACUGGGUUAACUUCGGGAAACCGGAGCUAAUACCGGAUAAUAUAUUGAACCGCAUGGUUCAAUAGUGAAAGACGGUUUUGCUGUCACUUAUAGAUGGAUCCGCGCCGCAUUAGCUAGUUGGUAAGGUAACGGCUUACCAAGGCAACGAUGCGUAGCCGACCUGAGAGGGUGAUCGGCCACACUGGAACUGAGACACGGUCCAGACUCUUACGGGAGGCAGCAGUAGGGAAUCUUCCGCAAUGGGCGAAAGCCUGACGGAGCAACGCCGCGUGAGUGAUGAAGGUCUUCGGAACGUAAAACUCUGUUAUUAGGGAAGAACAAAUGUGUAAGUAACUAUGCACGUCUUGACGGUACCUAAUCAGAAAGCCACGGCUAACUACGUG
rnacentral:rRNA from 1 species